GCUGCAUGGCUGUCGUCAGCUCGUGUCGUGAGAGUGUUGGGUUAAGUCCCGUAACGAGCGCAACCCUUGUCCUAGUUACCAGCACGUUAUGGUGGGCACUCUAAGGAGACUGCCGGGUGACAAACCGGAGGAAGGUGGGGGAUGACGUCAAGUCAUCAUGGCCCUUACGGCCUGGGCUACACACGUGCUACAAUGGUCGGUACAAAGGGUUGCCAAGCCGCGAGGUGGAGCUAAUCCCAUAAAAACCGAUCGUAGUCCGGAUCGCAGUCUGCAACUCGACUGCGUGAAGUCGGAAUCGCUAGUAAUCGUGAAUCAGAAUGUCACGGUGAAUACGUUCCCGGGCCUU
rnacentral:rRNA from 1 species